rnacentral:rRNA from 1 species
AGAGUUUGAUCCUGGCUCAGAACGAACGCUGGCGGCGGCCUAACACAUGCAAGUCGUGCGGGAAAGCGGGGCAACCCUGCAAGUACAGCGGCGCACGGGUGAGUAACACGUAGGUAACCUACCUCCGAGACUGGGAUAACCUGUCGAAAGACGGGCUAAUACCAGAUAAGACCACCGAGGUCGCGGCUUCGGCGGUAAAAGAUGGCCUCUGCUUGCAAGCUAUCACUGGGAGAUGGGCCUGCGCGCCAUUAGCUAGUUGGCGGGGUAAAAGCCCACCAAGGCGGAGAUGGCUAGCUGGUCUGAGAGGAUGGCCGGCCACACUGGGACUGAGACACGGCCCAGACUCCUACGGGAGGCAGCAGUGGGGAAUAUUGCGCAAUGGGCGAAAGCCUGACGCAGCGACGCCGCGUGGGUGAUGAAGGCCUUCGGGUCGUAAAGCCCUGUCGGGGGGGACGAAACUUCUCGGUGCUAAUAUCGCCGGGACCCGACGGUACCCCCUAAGGAAGCACCGGCUAACUCCGUGCCAGCAGCCGCGGUAAUACGGAGGGUGCAAGCGUUGUUCGGAAUCACUGGGCGUAAAGCGCGUGUAGGCGGCCUCUUAAGUCUGAUGUGAAAGCCCGGGGCUUACCCCCGGAAGUGCAUUGGAAACUGGGAGGCUAGAGUACCGGAGAGGAAGGUGGAAUUCCUGGUGUAGCGGUGAAAUGCGUAGAUAUCAGGAGGAACACCGGUGGCGAAGGCGGCCUUCUGGACGGAUACUGACGCUGAGACGCGAAAGCGUGGGGAGCAAACAGGAUUAGAUACCCUAGUAGUCC